GCCUAAAGCGUCCGUAGCCGGCUAUGUUAGUUUUCGGUUAAAUCCAUGUGCUUAACACAUGGGCUGUCGAAAAUACUGCAUAGCUAGGGAGUGGGAGAGGUAGACGGUACUCUGUAGGAAGGGGUAAAAUCCUUUGAUCUAUAGAUGACCACCAGUGGCGAAGGCGGUCUACCAGAACACGUCCGACGGUGAGGGAUGAAAGCUGGGGGAGCAAACCGGAUUAGAUACCCGGGUAGUCCCAGCUGUAAACUAUGCAAACUCAGUGAUGCAUUGGCUUGUGGCCAGUGCAGUGCCGCAGAGAAGUCGUUAAGUUUGCCGCCUGGGAAGUACGUACGCAAGUAUGAAACUUAAAGGAAUUGGCGGGGGAGCACCACAAGGGGUGAAGCCUGCGGUUCAAUUGGAGUCAACGCCAGAAAUCUUACCCGGAGAGACAGCAGGAUGAAGGUCAAGCUGAAGACUUUACCAGACAAGCUGAGAAGUGGUGCAUGGCCGUCGCCAGCUCGUGCCGUGAGGUGUCCUGUUAAGUCAGGUAACGAGCGAGAUCCUUGCUUCUAGUUGCCACCAUUACUCUCAGGAGUAGUGGGGCGAAUUAGCGGGACUGCCGCAGUUAAAUGCGGAGGAAGGAGAGGGCCACGGCAGGUCAGUAUGCCCCGAA
rnacentral:rRNA from 1 species